rnacentral:lncRNA from 1 species
AGAGUUUCCAUGCUGGGAUGAGGAUGAGUGUCAGGAAGAAAACGGCGCUGGGGUGUUGUUUUCUAUGUCGAAGGAGAGUUUGAUCGCUGCUCCUGCGAGUGCUUUGGUUGCAAUGAGGAGUGUUGAUGAUAAAGGAACCACAAAAGACCUGGACUCUGGGGAAGCUGAGAUGAAACAUUCUCAGAGUGCUGUGGACAAGGAUAAGAGGUUGCUUCGUCCCUUGAUAACGAGUAAGCGAAGAAAAGAACUGUUUGGAGCUUCUAAAGAGCGGAUGAAGAAGAAGGUCGAAGUUGCUGACAAAGAAGAGGAUGAUGAUAAGAAAGGUCAGUGAAACAACCACUUCUCUUUUUAAGCAAACUUUAGUUAGCCAUUAUUCAUUGUUCUUAAAUAAAGAAAUAUCGUCUUUCUUUCAGCAGUUCGACCAGCAAGUGGUUUUAAACCAUCAGAAACAGAAGGUUUAAGUAGAGACUGUGGGAUCGCAAAGAAUGAUAAGUCAAAGAAAGCUGCGUUUGAAGAAUCUAUUGAUGGUGGGCUUGGCGAGGGUGAAUCUGGUAAUUCAGAAAUUGGUGUUGAAUGCUCCAAAGAACAGAAUCUUUCUGACGUUCAUGCUAAUGGUGCUGGAAAACAGGAAGAGAAAGCUGGCCAUCAUUUCCGAAUUGUGCUUAAGAGCUCGGCUACUGAAGAUCCUUCCGUCCCAGCAAGAAAAGAUGUUACACACAAUGAAGCUGAUAAGGCAGAGGAGGUACGUGUUAGACUUGCAUAUAUGAGACUUACCUUUGAAUUGUCUUUGAUUAUAGCAACAAAUGCUGAAGUUUUCAGUUGAUUAUUAUCUAGGUGGUUUAAUUCAAAGCAAUUUGAUCUCUUAUAUAUAUACAUGCUCUCCUGUAAGUGCGUUGAUGUCUUGUAGACUGUAACAACUGUUUGAAUUAAGCAAGGCCGAAUUUAAUAUCUUAUUGAAGAUUAAAGAUAACAAUGGGGAAGCAACUGAUAACAAAUACUAUUUGCUUAUUUUCGCAGAGGCAAGGUACAAUAGAUGAUACUCCAGGAGAUAAUGCAGUUGAUUCGCCUGAAAGUUCCCAGAAGCCUUCUACACGAGAAGCUGAAGAGAAAAAUUGUGAUGCUGUCAGUGGUAAAAUCAGUUCAAGGAAGAACCAAGUCCAAAAAGAAAUUGGGGAGACUGGUGCUGGUGGAGCUGUAGGGCAGCAGACUCUGGAGUAUAACAAAACGACACAGAGCAGUUCACUUCCUCCUCCUGAUGAGCAGAAACCGCACCCUGUUGAUAUGAUAUCAGAAAGAACUACUGACUUAAAACGAGAGGUGUUGGUUUCGGAAGCAGAGAAAAAUAGUCUGGAAACAAAGCCCGGAUCUGGUGCACUUGAAGAGCCAUCAAAGCCAUGCAGACCUGUUCCGCACACGUUUUCAGUAUAUAGCAGGCCUAAGAUGGUAGUCAGCAUUGGGAAAUCAUCGUCUAGUUCAGCCACGGAAAAGUCACCUAAGCCCUCCUCUACUUCCAGGAACUCUAUACCUCCCUCCAAGCAACAACCAAGUGACGGUGAUGAAAACGCUAAUACUAAUGAUGAGGACUGUGUUUCCAGUGAUGCGAUCCGAGAGAGAGAUGGGGAUGAUGAGAAAUCUCUGAAAGAACAUACUAAAUCGAUGCAGCAGAGCCGCGCUUCUCAUUCUUCAGUUUCCAAGACAAGAGACUCUUCCUCUUCCCUAAAGGCAUCUCCAGCAGCUCGGCUUAAUGGUGGCUCUUCUGAGGCUUCUGGUAAACAUUCGCUCUCAGGGACCUUCCAGAAAAAUGACCCUAUGCAGUCUAUAACCGAUGAAGAGGUACGUGAGAGAUGUUGUUAUCCAUUCGCUUUUUUUUUCUAUCUUUCAUCUUCCCUCGGUUUUGACAUUUGUUUCAUUAAUGACCAGCUUGCGUUAAGACUGCACCAUCAACUCAACAGUUCUCCACGAGUUCCUCGUGUCCCACGCAUGAGACAGCCCGGUAGCUUACCCCUGUCUCCCACCGCUACUAGUUUUAAGCGCACCUGUAGUUCCGGUAGCAAGGAUCACACAGCGGUAUGAUUAUCUUUUCAAGUCGAUGAUCUCUCUAGGCUCGAGCAUGUUAGCUGACUAUGCAUCUGUUUCUCUAGUUUUCCAGAAGGAAAAACAAGGACGCGUCCAAAGAAGGGUUACGAAAAUCUCGUGACGAUGAUAGAUGUAGUACAAGGAGUACCAAAUCGCGUCGCCCUCCUGAUUGGAGAACAACACAUCAAGACAGUGGAAGCAGAGGAGGGGAAGAAAAGGAAAACCGAAAAACAUCCUACUCUUCCCGGAGGGUACUUGUCCAGCCAAACUCGACUACAAGCUCAAGCAGCGGAGCGUCUUCAUCCAACGAGCAUAAUAAGCCUUCUCCACACAGUUCCCCGAGGAAUAAUGGUACUCCUGUUCAUCAAACACUGCCUGGCUUAAUCAAUGAGAUUAUGAGUAAAGGCAAGAGGAUGACAUAUGAGGAGCUCUGUAACGCUGUCUUGCCGGUAUACUACUGCCUUCUGAUCUCAGACAUUAUCUAUUUAUCAGUGCUGGUCGCUGUUCUAAUCUGUUGUUGUUUCUUUUCUUGCAGCACUGGCCUCACUUGAGAAAACACAAUGGAGAGCGAUAUGCAUAUUCAAGCCAUUCACAAGCUGUUCUUGAUUGCCUGAGGAACAGGCAUGAAUGGGCUCGUCUGGUUGAUCGUGGCCCCAAGGUAUUUGGCUUAAGCUCACACUCUUUUUACUGUCGUCUUCAGCAUGUAAUAAUCUUCUUUUGUGUUUGUUGUUUCAGACUAACUCAGGGAAAAAGAAACGGAAGCUUGAUGCAGCAGAGGACGAGGAGUCAGAUGAGAACGAAAGCAGCAAGGGAGGAAAGAAGCAGCUGCAUCACUCUCAAGGAGAAGAGUUUCCUAAAGGGAAAAGGAAAGCAAGAAAACGAAGAAGGCUCUCUCUUCAAGGCAAGGGCAUAAAAGCGUUACUAAAGAAGCGAAAUGAACAAGUGAGCGAAGAAGACGAGGAAGGUGCGUCGUCAUCGGAUACAAGUGAAGAGAGUGUAUUCUGCGAAGAAGUAGAAGAGGCCCCCACUGCUAGUGCUAGACAAGUCUCUGCUAGUAGCUCCGAGGAAGCUGAAUCCACUUCAUGACUCCUCUCUCUAUGUAACAUAGAAGUAUAUAUCUAUGCAUUAUGUAGUUUUGUGUAUUUACCAAAAACUUGUCUUGUGUGGAUCAGAGGUUUGUAGAGAACUCACAGCAUCUCUCUUUUCUCGACCGACGAAACAAUAAACAUAUGCUUUUUAGAGAAUGAAGGUGAUUUUCUGGCUGUAGAUUUGCUUCCUCGUUUGGUAUAAUAUAAUCUUACGACUGAUAGAUUAAUAAAAAAAUUGGUCUCAAAUUAAAAUUUGAUUCAACUAAUAUUUUUAAUAAUAAGUGUUUUGCCUACACAUGUAAACAUACACAUUUUAUAAUCACUUUUUAAUACAAGCAUUAUUAAUGUAAAGACUAUAACGAUAAAUUAUUAUUUAUGUUUAUAUUUAAAAAUUCUUACGUAUUAUAAUUUUUGAAUUUGUUUUGUACAUUAUAUUCAUUUUUAAUAAAUAAAUCUUAGAAAUCACACAAUAUUGUCUUUUCAACUAAUCAUUUUGAAUAAUUAAUAGUACAUAUGUAUUUUCUGGUUUUUUUUUAAUUUUUAACCUUUUUAUUAAAAUAUACUUUUCAGAUAACAACACAAUAUACAUAAGAAUUAUAUUUUAUUUAAAAAUAUACUUUUCGGUUUUGGAUAAUUCGAAUGAUUAUUAUUAAUUUUAAUCACUUAUCUAAUAAAAUAUUUUAAAUUCAUUUUUAUUUUGUGGCUAAUUUACGGAUUUUAUUCAUUAAUGAUAUAAACGAAGAAAGACCGAUGCACUAAGCAAAAGGAAAGCCAGGCUUGAUUGGCUAAGGGGCAUAGGUUUGGAAAAAGUGGUCUUCGAACAAAGGGAGUAUAGGAAGAAUCUCAGGAAGAGGUUCCUAGUCUAGUUCCGUGCUGUUCUCAUUAAAAAGAAGAAUCACAUGAAGAGGUUUCCUGUUUGCAUCACCUUUUCUCUGGUAUUUUUGAAACAUGUGGAGAGCUUGUUCAAAGAACUCGAUUCAACACGCUACUCUAGACCUGGUUCUUCGUCACAAGGUUCCAAACAAGAGGGUAUGCAGUUAAGUUCCGUCAAAAUCUUUUAAGGGUAGCACUAGCCUUAUAGACGAGUGACCGCUGAACAAUAAGAACAAAGCCACUUUGUCCCUCUAACGUCGAAUGAUCUACUCGCUUGUACUUCUCUUUGUCAAAAUUCAUUUAGAUUAACCAUUCUAACUUUUAACGUGAGAGCUCCGAAAAAUCACCUCGCAAAUAAUAGUAUAGAUUUAUUAAUAUUAGAGCUGGGAUUUAUUAGUCAGGAUCUGAUCCAAGAUCCACUCCGGAUUCGUUCCAAACUUAAAAUAUCAAAAGUUAACAAAAAAAAGUUUAGGAUAUCAAAAGUUUCCGGAUCCAGAUAAUAAACUCUCAUAUCCGUCAAAAUCAAAUCUGGAUUUCAGAUAUUAAAUUCAAAGACAAUUAUUAAAAGUGGAAAAUGACUAAUUAGCUUAGGUAACAUGAAUGAAGAAUUACAUGUUGCAAAAGAGAUGAAAAAAAAACGAAAAACAUAUAUUUAUUUAAAGAUAAAAUUGUAUUAACAGUGGAUUUUCUAUGCUUGGCAUGAAUUUCAAACAUUCAUUUUCCGUGGUUGACAUUGCAACAACAAAUUGUUGUCUCGGUUUCCAACCAAAAGGUCUUCUGCAAGGGGAAUAACGUAUCAUGUAAUUGAGUCUCAGUUGUCUAGAUCUCUACCACAAUCUAAAUCCAUGAGUUCAACAACUUAAUCACACUUUAAACCUGCACACACAAGUCCUUAGUCACUUGGACUUCUUAAGUAUCUGAGUAUCCACUUGAUGGCAUCUCAAUGACUUCUUAAGUAUCUGAGUAUCCAUUUGAUAGCAUCUCAAUGACUUCUACCAGGAUCAACAUAUAGUUUGAUAUCGAAGAGACCGAGGUUGCUCAGUUGUUGGUUGAGCUGCCUACCAAGACCUUGAGAAUGGAGAGCUCGUGUACUCGGAAUGUGCCUGUUAAGCGUCCUUUUAGGUUAUGGACUGAGAUCCCGACGGAAGAGAAGGUUCAUGUGCAAGGGAUCCCGGGUGGUGAUCCGGCCUUCUUUGGAGGUUUGUCGUCGGUUUUCUCACGGGAGCUGUGGAAGUGUACUGGUUAUGUGCCUAAGAAGUUUAACUUCAAGUAUAGAGAGUUUCCAUGCUGGGAUGAGGAUGAGUGUCAGGAAGAAAACGGCGCUGGGGUGUUGUUUUCUAUGUCGAAGGAGAGUUUGAUCGCUGCUCCUGCGAGUGCUUUGGUUGCAAUGAGGAGUGUUGAUGAUAAAGGAACCACAAAAGACCUGGACUCUGGGGAAGCUGAGAUGAAACAUUCUCAGAGUGCUGUGGACAAGGAUAAGAGGUUGCUUCGUCCCUUGAUAACGAGUAAGCGAAGAAAAGAACUGUUUGGAGCUUCUAAAGAGCGGAUGAAGAAGAAGGUCGAAGUUGCUG